UACAGAGGGUGCAAGCGUUGUUCGGAAUUAUUGGGCGUAAAGGGCGCGUAGGCGAUUUGGCAAGUCUUUGUGUGAAAGCCCACAGCCUAACUGUGGAAAGUGCACAAGAUACUGCUGAAAUUUGAGUUCAGGAGAGGAAGGCAGAAUUCCCGGUGUAGCGGUGAAAUGCGUAGAUAUCGGGGAGGAAUACCAGUGGCGAAGGCGGCCUCUGGACUGACACUGACGCUGAGGCGCGAAAGCUAGGGGGAGCAAACGGG
rnacentral:rRNA from 1 species